rnacentral:rRNA from 1 species
AUUGAACGCUGGCGGCAGGCCUAACACAUGCAAGUCGAGCGGAUGAAGGGAGCUUGCUCCUGGAUUCAGCGGCGGACGGGUGAGUAAUGCCUGGGAAUCUGCCUGGUAGUGGGGAUAACGUCCGGAAACGGGCGCUAAUACCGCAUACGUCCUGAGGGAGAAAGUGGGGGAUCUUCGGACCUCACGCUAUCAGAUGAGCCUAGGUCGGAUUAGCUAGUUGGUGGGGUAAAGGCCUACCAAGGCGACGAUCCGUAACUGGUCUGAGAGGAUGAUCAGUCACACUGGAACUGAGACACGGUCCAGACUCCUACGGGAGGCAGCAGUGGGGAAUAUUGGACAAUGGGCGAAAGCCUGAUCCAGCCAUGCCGCGUGUGUGAAGAAGGUCUUCGGAUUGUAAAGCACUUUAAGUUGGGAGGAAGGGCAGUAAGUUAAUACCUUGCUGUUUUGACGUUACCAACAGAAUAAGCACCGGCUAACUUCGUG